GAGUAACACGUGGGCGAACCUGCCCCACGACUCUGGGAUAACUCGGAACGAUGCUAAAUACCGGAUACGACCACUUCGGACAUCCGACGGUGGUGGAAAGUUUUUCGGUCUGGGAUGGGCCCGCGGCCUAUCAGCUAGUUGGUGGGGUAAUGGCCUACCAAGGCGACGACGGGUAGUCGGCCUGAGAGGGCGACCGGCCACACUGGAACUGAGACACGGUCCAGACUCCUACGGGAGGCAGCAGUGGGAAUAUUGCACAAUGGGCGAAAGCCUGAUGCAGCGACGCCGCGUGAGGGACGACGGCCUUCGGGUUGUAAACCUCUUUCAGCAGGGACGAAGCGAAAGUGACUGUACCUGCAGAAGAAGCACCGGCUAACUACGUG
rnacentral:rRNA from 1 species